rnacentral:rRNA from 1 species
CCUACGGGAGGCAGCAGUGAGGAAUAUUGGUCAAUGGGCGCGAGCCUGAACCAGCCAAGUCGCGUGAGGGAAGACGGUCCUAUGGAUUGUAAACCUCUUUUGUCGGGGAGCAAAAGACGCCACGCGUGGCGUUCCGAGAGUACCCGACGAAAAAGCAUCGGCUAACUCCGUGCCAGCAGCCGCGGUAAUACGGAGGAUGCGAGCGUUAUCCGGAUUUAUUGGGUUUAAAGGGUGCGCAGGCGGACGAUCAAGUCAGCGGUAAAAUUGAGAGGCUCAACCUCUUCGAGCCGUUGAAACUGGUUGUCUUGAGUGAGUGAGAAGUAUGCGGAAUGCGUGGUGUAGCGGUGAAAUGCAUAGAUAUCACGCAGAACUCCGAUUGCGAAGGCAGCAUACCGGCGCUCAACUGACGCUCAUGCACGAAAGUGUGGGUAUCGAACAGGAUUAGAUACCCUGGUAGUC